GAUGAACGCUGGCGGCGUGCUUAACACAUGCAAGUCGAACGAUGAAGCCCAGCUUGCUGGGUGGAUUAGUGGCGAACGGGUGAGUAACACGUGAGUAACCUGCCCUUGACUCUGGGAUAAGCGCUGGAAACGGCGUCUAAUACCGGAUACGAGCUUCCACCGCAUGGUGAGUUGCUGGAAAGAAUUUCGGUCAAGGAUGGACUCGCGGCCUAUCAGGUAGUUGGUGAGGUAACGGCUCACCAAGCCGACGACGGGUAGCCGGCCUGAGAGGGUGACCGGCCACACUGGGACUGAGACACGGCCCAGACUCCUACGGGAGGCAGCAGUGGGGAAUAUUGCACAAUGGGCGCAAGCCUGAUGCAGCAACGCCGCGUGAGGGACGAAGGCCUUCGGGUCGUAAACCUCUUUUAGCAGGGAAGAAGCGAAAGUGACGGUACCUGCAGAAAAAGCACCGGCUAACUACGUG
rnacentral:rRNA from 1 species